CACGUAGGGUGCGAGCGUUGUCCGGAAUUAUUGGGCGUAAAGAGCUCGUAGGCGGUGUGUCGCGUCGGCCGUGAAAACUUGCAGCUUAACUGUGGGCGUGCGGUCGAUACGGGCAUCACUGGAGUUCGGCAGGGGAGACUGGAAUUCCUGGUGUAGCGGUGAAAUGCGCAGAUAUCAGGAGGAACACCGGUGGCGAAGGCGGGUCUCUGGGCCGAUACUGACGCUGGAGGAGCGA
rnacentral:rRNA from 1 species